GCGUCGGUGGUGCAACGGUUUAGCAGACUUGCUCCCGGAAAGAGUAAGAUCCUGGUUCAAAUCCCAGGCUGACGCA